UGGAAACAAAGAGAGGUGAGAAUAUGGGGGUACUGUUAGUGGGAAUGUAAAUUGGUACAGGUAUUAUGAAAAAUAGCAUGGAAGUUCCAGAAAAAACAAAACAAAACAAAACAAAACAAAACAUGUCAUCUGGCAGUGCCACAUGUGGGCAAAUAUCUAAAGAAAUUUGAAUUAGAAGCUCAAAGAGACUUCCACGUCCUAUGUUCAUUGCAGAAUUAGUCACAACAGUCAAGAUGUACGAGGGGGCAUGUGAGUGUGUGAGACAGCGUGAGCCUGAUGCUCCCUUGCAGAGUAAAAUGCUGUUUGACUUUAAGACCAGAGAGCCGGGUCUGCAUGAUCUCAUACACAGAAUGUGAAGUCGCAGACUCUUGGGCACAGAGGUAGAAUGGGGGCUGCCAGGGGCUGGAGAGGGAGUGAUGGUCAGAGUUCAAAGACAAAAUACACAGUAGGUUCUGCAGUUAGGCGGUGCAGCGCAGUGCAGAGAGCUAACAAGGCCGCAUCAGAUCGCAAGUGUUUCGAGCCCGUGGAUUGGGGAUUGCAUAAGAACUGGUCUUACCACCCACGCAGUCAAACCCUGAAGCAGCACGGAGGGGCUCGGGGAAAGUUUGAAGGGCGAUAAACACGUGGGCUUGGCACAUAGUUUAAGUAUUUUUGAAAGAAAUACUUCGGAGGCUGGAGAGAUGAUGCCGGAAGUAGAAGCCAUCACUCUCUGGACUCCCAAAGGAUCCAGAGAUUAGGUUGCAGCCCCCGAGUCAGGGGUCUUACAGCCAUCUGUAAGGCCAGCUCCAGAAGAUCUGAGAUCUGGUGCCCUCUUCUGGCUUCCUCAGGCAUGCACAUGCACUGGAAUACACAUACUCAGACACACUCACACGUACCACAUGCACACGUGCACACAUACACUCACACACGCUAAACACAUGCACACACAACCACACUCACACACAUUUGCAUUCCACCACAUACAUACUCAAACACAUUCGCACAUUCUCAUACAUACUCACACACAAACUCACACAUGCACACACUCUUACAUAUACACAUACUCAUACAUACAAAUACACACCGCACAUGCACAUACUUGCUCACACACACACUCACCCACUUGAAAAUAAAAGCCAGUCAAUCAAUCAGUCAUUCAGUGCCCCUGCUGCUGAGCCCUCAGAGGCCGUAGUCCAGAAGAAGCCACCCCAUGAUUUGGGCAGGCAUUUGCUGAAAGCCUCCAGGGGAGCCAGUCUGCUCCCUCACACUAACAGACAACCUACCAUGUCAGGAACCACCAACUGCAGUUCACUCUGAGGAUCCGGAUCGAAGUCUCAGGACCCAGCAUCCCCACCCAGAGAAAUGGGGAAAGCAAAUUACUCCAAGGUUCCUUGUGUUGGGGGGCGAAAGCUAACAUCACGUCCCACCCUCUCCCUGUGGCUGACUUGUGUAACUUUUGCAGCCUCAGGGCUGCUGGGAGUUGUGCAGGAUAGAGCACCUGAGAGCCCUCAGCUCCGUGCGUGCGUGCGUGCGUGCGUGGGGCCUUCGAAGCCAUGGCGAUAAUGGUAAUACACGUCUUCCUGUACCCCCUUUCGGUUUCACGCUCGCUACUUAACCAAGAUGAAGACCUUGAACUCCUGACCUCCCAAGUGCUGAGCUUGCAGGCAUGUGCCACCAUGCCCUGCUC
rnacentral:lncRNA from 1 species